AUUGAACGCUGGCGGCAUGCUUUACACAUGCAAGUCGAACGGUAACAGGGUGCUUGCACCGCUGACGAGUGGCGAACGGGUGAGUAAUGCGUCGGAACGUGCCGAGUAGUGGGGGAUAACGCAGCGAAAGUUGUGCUAAUACCGCAUACGUACUGAGGUAGAAAGUGGGGGACCUUCGGGCCUCACGCUAUUCGAGCGGCCGACGUCUGAUUAGCUAGUAGGUGAGGUAAAGGCUCACCUAGGCGACGAUCAGUAGCGGGUCUGAGAGGAUGAUCCGCCACACCGGGACUGAGACACGGCCCAGACUCCUACGGGAGGCAGCAGUGGGGAAUUUUGGACAAUGGGCGAAAGCCUGAUCCAGCCAUGCCGCGUGUCUGAAGAAGGCCUUCGGGUUGUAAAGGACUUUUGUCAGGGAGGAAAUCCCUAGUGCUAAUAACACUGGGGGAUGACAGUACCUGAAGAAUAAGCACCGGCUAACUACGUGCCAGCCGCCGCAGUAA
rnacentral:rRNA from 1 species